rnacentral:rRNA from 1 species
GACAGAGGUGCCGAGCGUUAGGCGGAAUCAGCUAGGGCUUAAAGCGUGUGUAGGGCGGGUCGUUAAGUGUCUUGUGAAAAUCCCCACCGCUCAACGGUGGAACUGCUGGGCAUACUGGCGAUCUUGAGCCACCUAGGGGCAGACGGAACAAGCGGGUGGAGCGGUGAAAUGCGUAGAUAUCGCUUGGAACGCCGACGGUGAAAACAGUCUGCUGGGGGUGUGCUGACGCUGAGACACGAAAGCCAGGGGAGCGAACGGG